AGAAUCAACGCUGGCGGCGUGCCUAACACAUGCAAGUCGAACGAGAAAGUGGGAGCAAUCCCACGAGUAAAGUGGCGCACGGGUGAGUAACACGUGACUAACCUACCCUUGAGUGGGGGAUAACCUAGGGAAACCUGGGCUAAUACCGCAUAAUACCUACGGGUCAAAGGAGCAAUUCGCCUAAGGAGGGGGUCGCGGCAGAUUAGUUAGUUGGCGGGGUAAUGGCCCACCAAGACAGUGAUCUGUA
rnacentral:rRNA from 1 species